UUCCACCUAAAUGUGAGAACCUGCAGCAGAAGACCAUAAAGGAGCAGAGUUUGAGCAGUGAGGUGUGUCUGAGGAGCAGAACUUAUGAAAAUCACAGGGCUGAAGUUCAGCUCUAUAUGAUUUGAUGGAUGUAGAAAGUCUGAGUUAAACCUUCAUUCAGAAAGACUGCAGAUACCUUCAGGAUUUGUUUAAGCCUCUUUAUUAACUCCACACGUAACAGCAGGUACAGAUGAAUAUGUUGCAUUGUGGUUGCUCUGCAUUUCAAAUACAAAUAAACAUAUUUAUUAUUAGUAUGCAGCAAUAAGCAAUAUUUACUGUGAAAUAAACAGACAUACAAUAAAUUCAUACAUUGGACAAAGGCAAAGUAAUAGCUUAAAACAGCCACAAGGGGGCAGCUUUAGACCGUAACCUCAUGAUAUUUACAACACAUGUUGAAAAGAGUCUCUAUCAAAGCAAAUAUUGUAUUAUAAAGCAGAGAAGAAGCAGAACAAUGAGGAUAUAAGGAUGAAGGGUUCACUGUAAGAAAAAAGAUCAUUCUAACUUAUUUGAAUUGUUCUAAAAAAGCUUUAAAAGGCACCGAGAACGUCAAGUUUAAGCUUCAGGUUAUAAACUCUGAGCUCUAUGACCUGAUGAUUUUAAAAAGGUACAAAAUCAAAUAUGAACAUGUUUAAAAUAAAUGCUUCCAGUGUCAGAAGCUUCCUAAAAUGCAUCUGGUUGAAUCUGAGCAUGUUUUAGAUUGUGUUAAUAUCAUCAGGAACCUCUGACUGGAUCAGGAAGAAACAAUCAGGCAGAAAUCAGUUUUAUCUUCAUGUUGGUGAGUUGAAACCUUCUCACAGGUUGACUUAGAUUAUCAUACUUUUAUGGACCUGUCACCAUAUUCUCAUCUUCAGCUUCUUCUGCUGGAGGUGGGUUAGAUUUCAGUGAUGAACGGAUCUGCUUUCUACGGAGCACCAGAACAACAACAGCACCAACAACAACAACAACAACAGAGAGACCAACUAUCAGUCCAGUCUGGUUCCCUCCAUCCUCGUUUCCUGCAGAGAAGAACCAGAUGUGAGUAUUUUCUGUCAGGUAGAUGAAGAUAGAGGAACUGCUGUCCCACAUCAUCUCUGCUCUCAGACCAGAUGCUUUCUACAGACUCUCAUCAACACUGCAGGGAUCUGGUAGAAUAAGUUCAUGUCUACUGGAUCCCAGACAGCAGGGAGCUCAGAUCAGUGAAGCAGCCAUGAAGUCUGCAGCUAAACUCCUUGUCAGAUGGUAGCUGCUCCCCUGAAGGUCAAAGUCAUAAAUGUUCUAUACAGCAUCAGGUCAUAGAGCAGCUCUAUCACCUUAUUAAACUGACUAAAUAUCUUUAUGUUAGAAAUCUCAUUUAAAUCUUUAAUGGUUUGCCAUACAAAGCUCUAGAAUGAGAAUAUAAUAAUAAACUGAAUACCUUACAUUUUAAUAUUUUUAUUAAUGAAACAAAAUCAUCUGAUUUCUGUAGAAAAUGGAUCAAUGAAUCAUCUGAGUUCUGAGUCGAAUCUUUGAGAAGAAAAACAGGAGAAAACAUCCCAAAUAUUUCAGUUUGAUUGUUUUCUGUCAUCUUCGUCUUUUUGUGUAUUUUCUCAACAGCAGGGAGGAUG